rnacentral:rRNA from 1 species
CUCGUAGGCGGUUCAGCAAGUCGGGUGUGAAAACUCUGGGCUUAACCCAGAGCCUGCACUCGAAACUGCUGUGACUAGAGUUCGGUAGGGGAGCAGGGAAUUCCUAGUGUAGCGGUGAAAUGCGCAGAUAUUAGGAGGAACACCAAUGGCGAAGGUACUGCUCUGGGCCGAUACUGACGCUGAGGAGCGAGAGCGUGGGUAGCAAACA